rnacentral:rRNA from 1 species
AUUGAACGCUGGCGGCAGGCCUAACACAUGCAAGUCGAACGGUAACAGGAAGAAGCUUGCUUCUUUGCUGACGAGUGGCGGACGGGUGAGUAAUGUCUGGCAAACUGCCUGUUGGCGGGGGAUAACUCCUGGAAACGGUAGCUAAUACCGCAUAACCUCGCAAGACCAAAGAGGGGGACCUUCGGGCCUCUUGCCAUCGGAUGUGCCCAGAUGGGAUUAGCUAGUAGGUGGGGUAACGGCUCACCUAGGCGACGAUCCCUAGCUGGUCUGAGAGGAUGACCAGCCACACUGGAACUGAGACACGGUCCAGACUCCUACGGGAGGCAGCAGUGGGGAAUAUUGCACAAUGGGCGCAAGCCUGAUGCAGCCAUGCCGCGUGUAUGAAGAAGGCCUUCGGGUUGUAAAGUACUUUCAGCGGGGAGGAAGGGAGUAAAGUUAAUACCUCUGCUCAUUGACGUUACCCGCAGAAGAAGCACCGGCUAACUCCGUG